rnacentral:rRNA from 1 species
UACGUAGGGUGCAAGCGUUGUCCGGAAUUAUUGGGCGUAAAGAGCUCGUAGGUGGUCUGUUGCGUCGGCUGUGAAACCCCGAGGCUCAACCUCGGGCCUGCAGCCGAUACGGGCAGACUAGAGUUCGGCAGGGGAGACUGGAAUUCCUGGUGUAGCGGUGAAAUGCGUAGAUAUCAAGAGGAACACCUGCGGCGAAGGCGGGUUGCUGGGCCGACACUGACGCUGAUGCGCGAAAGCUAGGGGAGCGAACGGG